AGAGUUUGAUCCUGGCUCAGGACGAACGCUGGCGGCGUGCCUAAUACAUGCAAGUCGAGCGAGCAGAACCAGCAGAUUUACUUCGGUAAUGACGCUGGGGACGCGAGCGGCGGAUGGGUGAGUAACACGUGGGGAACCUGCCCCAUAGUCUGGGAUACCACUUGGAAACAGGUGCUAAUACCGGAUAAUAAAGCAGAUCGCAUGAUCAGCUUAUAAAAGGCGGCGUAAGCUGUCGCUAUGGGAUGGCCCCGCGGUGCAUUAGCUAGUUGGUAAGGUAACGGCUUACCAAGGCAAUGAUGCAUAGCCGAGUUGAGAGACUGAACGGCCACAUUGGGACUGAGACACGGCCCAAACUCCUACGGGAGGCAGCAGUAGGGAAUCUUCCACAAUGGACGCAAGUCUGAUGGAGCAACGCCGCGUGAGUGAAGAAGGUUUUCGGAUCGUAAAGCUCUGUUGUUGGUGAAGAAGGAUAGAGGUAGUAACUGGCCUUUAUUUGACGGUAAUCAACCAGAAAGUCACGGCUAACUACGUGCCAGCAGCCGCGGUAAUACGUAGGUGGCAAGCGUUGUCCGGAUUUAUUGGGCGUAAAGCGAGCGCAGGCGGAAGAAUAAGUCUGAUGUGAAAGCCCUCGGCUUAACCGAGGAAUUGCAUCGGAAACUGUUUUUCUUGAGUGCAGAAGAGGAGAGUGGAACUCCAUGUGUAGCGGUGGAAUGCGUAGAUAUAUGGAAGAACACCAGUGGCGAAGGCGGCUCUCUGGUCUGCAACUGACGCUGAGGCUCGAAAGCAUGGGUAGCGAACAGGAUUAGAUACCCUGGUAGUCCAUGCCGUAAACGAUGAGUGCUAAGUGUUGGGAGGUUUCCGCCUCUCAGUGCUGCAGCUAACGCAUUAAGCACUCCGCCUGGGGAGUACGACCGCAAGGUUGAAACUCAAAGGAAUUGACGGGGGCCCGCACAAGCGGUGGAGCAUGUGGUUUAAUUCGAAGCAACGCGAAGAACCUUACCAGGUCUUGACAUCUAGUGCCAUCCUAAGAGAUUAGGAGUUCCCUUCGGGGACGCUGAGACAGGUGGUGCAUGGCUGUCGUCAGCUCGUGUCGUGAGAUGUUGGGUUAAGUCCCGCAACGAGCGCAACCCUUAUUAUUAGUUGCCAGCAUUAAGUUGGGCACUCUAAUGAGACUGCCGGUGACAAACCGGAGGAAGGUGGGGAUGACGUCAAGUCAUCAUGCCCCUUAUGACCUGGGCUACACACGUGCUACAAUGGGCAGUACAACGAGAAGCGAGCCUGCGAAGGCAAGCGAAUCUCUGAAAGCUGUUCUCAGUUCGGACUGCAGUCUGCAACUCGACUGCACGAAGCUGGAAUCGCUAGUAAUCGCGGAUCAGAACGCCGCGGUGAAUACGUUCCCGGGCCUUGUACACACCGCCCGUCACACCAUGGAAGUCUGCAAUGCCCAAAGCCGGUGGCCUAACCUUCGGGAAGGAACCGUCUAAGGCAGGGCAGAUGACUGGGGUGAAGUCGUAACAAGGUAGCC
rnacentral:rRNA from 3 species